UUAAAAGAUAGGUAAAAGGCAUACCACAAAACUUUGAAUUUUGAAUUAUGGGUUCAAAUCCCCUUCUUUUAAAC
rnacentral:tRNA from 1 species